rnacentral:rRNA from 1 species
UACGUAGGGGGCGAGCGUUGUCCGGAUUCAUUGGGCGUAAAGAGCUCGUAGGCGGCUUGGCAAGUCGGAUGUGAAAACCCUCGGCUUAACCAAGGAAGUGCAUCCGAAACUGCAGAGCUUGAGUACUUAAGAGGAUCGCGGAAUUCCCGGUGUAGAGGUGAAAUUCGUAGAUAUCGGGAGGAACACCAGUGGCGAAGGCGGCGAUCUGGGAAGAUACUGACGCUGAGGUGCGAAAGCGUGGGGAGCAAACAGG